AGCUUUGCGCAGUGGCAGUAUCAUAGCCAAUGAGGUUUAUCCGAGGCGCGAUUAUUGCUAAUUGAAACAAAUCAGCUUGGUGGGCCGAAUUGCGUGCUGUUACCUAACAGUGAUGGAAGACUUGAAGGGUUGUAGGAGC
ensembl:snRNA U4 U4 spliceosomal RNA